rnacentral:rRNA from 1 species
GAUGAACGCUGGCGGCGUGCCUAAUACAUGCAAGUCGAGCGAACAGACGAGGAGCUUGCUCCUCUGACGUUAGCGGCGGACGGGUGAGUAACACGUGGAUAACCUACCUAUAAGACUGGGAUAACUUCGGGAAACCGGAGCUAAUACCGGAUAAUAUAUUGAACCGCAUGGUUCAAUAGUGAAAGACGGUUUUGCUGUCACUUAUAGAUGGAUCCGCGCCGCAUUAGCUAGUUGGUAAGGUAACGGCUUACCAAGGCAACGAUGCGUAGCCGACCUGAGAGGGUGAUCGGCCACACUGGAACUGAGACACGGUCCAGACUCCUACGGGAGGCAGCAGUAGGGAAUCUUCCGCAAUGGGCGAAAGCCUGACGAAGCAACGCCGCGUGAGUGAUGAAGGUCUUCGGAUCGUAAAACUCUGUUAUUAGGGAAGAACAAAUGUGUAAGUAACUAUGCACGUCUUGACGGUACCUAAUCAAAAAGCAACGGCUAACUACGUG